GGGGAUGUUUUGGUUUUGACAGCAUCAGACAUUGGACGGUAAGCACGUCGGGCGUGGGAAGUUUGCCCGUUAAUCUCAGCUUUCGAACUUAUAGUUGGCAACAACUCUUAUGCACUCGCUGCGUAGUCUGCUAAGCACACUACCUUAAUCCGCGACGCCAAGGCUGCGUCGCCGACGAGUAUCCCUCCAGCCUUUAGGCCGGUUAUGGCUGGAAUCCGGGGUAUCAUUCAAACCGGAUGCUCGGAGUGACUCCUUUAAGCUCCGCUAAGAUUCAGAGGAUAAGCCUUGGGUAGCCUGUCUGACGGCAGCCCCUGGACGAAAACCAAAGCCAGACUAAGCGUGUAGAAAGCCGCCUGGUGCGGUGUUUGGACGGCGGUUCGAGUCCGCCCAUCUCCACAA
rnacentral:tmRNA from 1 species